UGGGUCGGCCAGGCAAUCGCGAGAAAUCGAGGAACGUCCGGGCUCCAAAGGGCAGGGCGGUGGCUAACGGCCACCCGGGGUAACCCGCGAGAAAGUGCAACAGAGAGUAAACCGCCGCGCAAGCGGUAAGGGUGAAACGGUGGGGUAAGAGCCCACCAGCGGGGUGUGUGAGCACCUCGGCUAGGUAAACCUCGCCUGGAGCAAGACCAGACAGUUAGCUUAUAAGUUGCCCGCUUUGCUAACGGGUAGGUCGCUUGAAGUCUUGAGUAAUCAAGAUUCUAGAUAGAUGAUUGCCCCCGAAAGGGACAGAACCCGGCGUAUCGGCCGACCCAUCAC
rnacentral:RNase_P_RNA from 1 species